UGCCGGACGAGGAAGAGGAAGUGCGUUUCCAAGGGUGGAAGCCUUUGCCGAACGAGGACGCGCUGUCCGACAGGGAGGAGGGCGACGGGCUGGGACUGCCGAUCUUGUUACAGGCAGCAGUGAGCCGGGGACUGUUCCCUACACCCGGGAGGAGUAAAUGACCUGAUCUUGGCUGAAUCGUCCGCCACCGGAGGGAACAUCUGCGAUGAUGGAUCGGCUCCCAGAUUAAUCUCUCUGUUUCUUCGAUUUGGACAACAGCUUUGGGGGCCUAAUUUACAUCCUGGGAACAACCUGCUCAAGUCUACCAAACACCUUGCUGCGACAAUAGGCAGCAGCAACCUCCCUGCGAGGGGGAGGAGAAAAACCAAGUGGCAGCCGGCUGAGCCCGAUCCUCAGUUGGAUCCAGGGUCCGAGCGGACGCCCUGGGGUCUCCGAGAAGCU